rnacentral:rRNA from 1 species
GACGAACGCUGGCGGCGUGCCUAAUACAUGCAAGUCGAACGCUGAAGGAGGAGCUUGCUUCUCUGGAUGAGUUGCGAACGGGUGAGUAACGCGUAGGUAACCUGCCUGGUAGCGGGGGAUAACUAUUGGAAACGAUAGCUAAUACCGCAUAAUAGUAGAUGUUGCAUGACAUUUGCUUAAAAGGUGCAAUUGCAUCACUACCAGAUGGCCCUGCGUUGUAUUAGCUAGUUGGUGAGGUAACGGCUCACCAAGGCAACGAUACAUAGCCGACCUGAGAGGGUGAUCGGCCACACUGGGACUGAGACACGGCCCAGACUCCUACGGGAGGCAGCAGUAGGGAAUCUUCGGCAAUGGACGGAAGGCUGACCGAGCAACGCCGCGUGAGUGAAGAAGGUUGUCGGAUCGUAAAGCUCUGUUGUAAGAGAAGAACGAGUGUGAGAGUGGAAAGUUCACACUGUGACGGUAUCUUACCAGAAAGGGACGGCUAACUACGUG